AUUGAACGCUGGCGGCAGGCCUAACACAUGCAAGUCGAGCGGAUGAAGGGAGCUUGCUCCUGGAUACAGCGGCGGACGGGUGAGUAAUGCCUAGGAAUCUGCCUGGUAGUGGGGGAUAACGUCCUGAAACGGGCGCUAAUACCGCAUACGUCCUGAGGGAGAAAGGGGGGGAUCUUCGGACCUCACGCUAUCAGAUGAGCCUAGGUCGGAUUAGCUAGUUGGUGGGGUAAAGGCCUACCAAGGCGACGAUCCGUAACUGGUCUGAGAGGAUGAUCAGUCACACUGGAACUGAGACACGGUCCAGACUCCUACGGGAGGCAGCAGUGGGGAAUAUUGGACAAUGGGCGAAAGCCUGAUCCAGCCAUGCCGCGUGUGUGAAGAAGGUCUUCGGAUUGUAAAGCACUUUAAGUUGGGAAGAAGGGCAGUAAGUUAAUACCUUGCUGUUUUGACGUUACCAACAGAAUAAGCACCGGCUAACUUCGUG
rnacentral:rRNA from 1 species